UGUAGACUCUGCCGCAGCCUCUUGUUAUGUUUUGCCACCUUCUUUGAUUCGACUACCAAUUGUUGAUAUGCUGCGACCAUGUCAUCUUCGUCCGAUUCUUCAUCCGAUGAGUUCUCCGAAGAAGAUUUUUCAUGUAUAGACGACAUUGAGAGAGAAUCUGUAGAUGCUAAACACAUAAAGGUUGAAUCCUGUGCAAUCAGUGCCGUGGCAUUAACAUCCUCAUCACUUGAAGUUGAAUCGUCAGAAGAGGAGUCAUCCCAAGUAAUAGCUUGCAUCGCUUUCUUUUUCAAAGACUUUUUAUUUGGACAGUCCGAUGCAAUAUGGCCAAAUCACCUACACUUAUAGCAUUGAAUUUGACCUUCACUGCUUUUCUUCUCUUUUGUAGAGUCCUUUUGAAGGUUUUCCGAUUUUCUGAAUUUUGAUGAAGAAGAAGACGAACUCCCUUUAGAUUUGCUUGACUUGGAGGAAGUAGACUUGGGAGGAAACUUCUUUCUAAAGUUCCGAUGGAACUUCUUCGUUAGAAGCGCUAGUUGCUUUUCAAACUCCUCCAAGGUUUGCUCCGACUCCGAGUCCGAUGAAGUUGAAGUGACAUCUCCUUUUGUUGAUUUUAGAGCCAUCCCUGAAGCUUUAGAAGAAGACUUGGAAGAAGACAAAUUAGAAGAAAAAGUCAUCUCAUAAGUUUGAAGUGCACCUGUUAAGUCUUGUGUGUUGGCAAAUUUCGUGAAGUGAGUCGGAGUCUUGAAGAAUCGGUGAGUGUCGUUGAAGAUUGAAGAAUUCAAGAUUUCGAAGAAUUUAGAAAGUAAAUCACAAUGUGAAUCACGACGUAAAGGUAAUGUGUUAAUUCAUGUUAUGGUGAUUCAUACUUAGUUAUAGGUGUUAGAAUCAUUAUUAUUAAUGUUUAGCUGAUUAGAAAGUGCUUCGGAACUUUGUG
rnacentral:lncRNA from 1 species